rnacentral:rRNA from 1 species
CAGCAGCCGCGGUAAUACGAAGGGUGCAAGCGUUACUCGGAAUUACUGGGCGUAAAGCGUGCGUAGGUGGUGGUUUAAGUCCGUUGUGAAAGCCCUGGGCUCAACCUGGGAAUUGCAGUGGAUACUGGGUCACUAGAGUGUGGUAGAGGAUAGUGGAAUUUCCGGUGUAGCAGUGAAAUGCGUAGAGAUCGGAAGGAACAUCUGUGGCGAAGGCGACUAUCUGGGACAACACUGACGCUGAGGCACGAAAGCGUGGGGAGCAAACAGGAUUAGAUACCCGAGUAGUCCCUGUCUCUUAUAC